UCUCCGUUCCUGCUGUAUCUAAGCGAGGUGACUCGUCUGCAUUCUGGGUUUGCAUUUUAUUAGGAGAAACACAGCUUCCCUGACUCCCGCCCCUGAGGUCCACUGGGGAGGAACACAGCAGAAGCUCAGCGUCAGAUGGCUGAUGAUCCCAUUGUAUUUUCAAGAUAGGAACAUGGCUGUUCUGAAUCAGAACUUUGCGUCACAUGUGAUGGAGAACCUUCUUCUCCCAGCUGCAGGCUUGCUGCCAUUCUCCAAGGCGUCCACAGCGUUCAGUGCAUUGCCCAUUGUACAGACGAGAAGACUGAGUGUUGGGGAAUGGAGCCCAAAGAACCACAGGUAGAAAACUUCAACGCUGACUUACAAAUCCAGCUCUACCCAACUCCCAAACUUCUCCUCAUUCCGUUUCUGUCACGCCUCUCUGCCAAUCAGGUCUAGUCUCUUAGUCACACUGCAUCCCAUGCGGACCCCAAUGGGAACUCUGGGCGGCUCUGCCCGCAGCCUGCUGGACAGAGGUGGGUCUCUCACACCCUCUGCUUUGUCUCUCAAGUGGCCUGGCCUCUCUCCAGGCCCCAGCAAGCUAUCUGCUCCCAUGUCAACCGUUUUUCGGGGCCUCCUGUCACCCGUGUUUUAUAACCUCCUCAGUGAAGAGCAAAUCUGUAUUGAUUUCAGAACAACUCAGGCUGUAAAUUACAGGUCGUGAUUGGCUUGGUCACCCCGAAAUGAAAAUCUAUCCACUGCACCAGGCGUCUAAAUCUAAUUAUCGUUGCAGGAAGCCCAUUGGCAGGGUAGCCUGGUGCCUGUGCAGAAAGGAAUGUUUCAGAUGGUCAGCAGCAGCCUGCAAAAUACAUACCACAAAAUUUAGAGCUGCCCCUAGUGUUUGUCUGGCAAACAGAAGUCUCGCAGGUUGCUUUGAUCAUCAAAUUGAAUAUCAGAAGUGACCUUGAGCCAUUUCUGUUAUUAAUAAUAGUAGUAAUAAUGAGAAUGAUAAAAUAACUGUAGCUAAUAGUCGCUGAUGGUUUGCAUGCACUCUUUCAUCUGGAAACCUCAGAGCUGUUCGUCACUUACUGGCUGUGGGACUCUGGGCCAAUUACUUAGCUUCUCUAUGCCUCUGUUUCCUUAGCUGUAAACUGAGGGAGAGAAGCAAUAUGUGGUUCAUCACAUUGAGGGAAAGGUUAAAUAAAGUGAUUUAUGCAAAUUGCUGAGAUCAGGAGCAAGGUGCAUUCUUGCAGUCAUUAUUCAUGAAGAAACAGAAACUCAGAGAAGUUAAGAGACUUCCCCGAGGUCACACAGCUAACAGUAAUUUUUGUCUGCAGCCUGGCGCAUUGUUUUUAAAAUGCUGUUUAAUUGCCAGCAUUGAAAAAUGCAGCUGAUUUCCUGUUUCUCUUGAGUAUUGGAGAAAAACUGGCAGCAACGAGGCCAUGUUUCUUUCUACCAGGCUUCCCUAACUAAAUCUAUUCUGGAAGGCCAGCUAAACCCCAGAGUGCCAAAGACUCUUGUGCAAAAACAAACCAACACCCCCCAAUUUAGGGGGUUUUGAGGUUGUCUGGAGACAACCAUCAAAGGCUUUGAGUGCUCUGAAUCAAUUAAUGACCAGCAGCAGCUGAGCCCAUUACGUGGGGUUUGUCUCCUGCUUUGCCACAGUCCCCACCAGUCCCUGCUGCCCUGCACCCCGCCUACCUCUCCCACAAGGCCUGUUUGGCCUCUGUAGACACUGGAGAUUAGGGGAUGAUCAGCACACUCAAAUCCAUGAGAACUCUACCACUGUCACCCUUAGUUUACAGAUGCAGGC